rnacentral:lncRNA from 1 species
GAGUAUAAGUUAGAGAGAGAGAGAGCAUAAUUAAAAAAAUAGAAAGAAAAAUAUAGUCGAAAUUAGAGGAAGUGAGAGAGUUGAAAUUUUAGAAAGAGAGAGAGAGAGAGAGAGAGAAAGCUUAGUUUAGAGAGAGAAAAAAAAGUUGAAUUUUAGAGAGAAAAAUAAGUUUAGAGAGAGAUAUAAGGUUAGAGUGUAAAGAAAAAUAAUAUCAAUUAGCAGGCGGGUAGGAAGAAAGAAAGAUAUUAGAUCUAUUAUGAUUACCCAAAUUCAUUAAUAUGAGGAUACCCAUCAUCCCUCAAGGGAAUGAGAUUAGUACUUUGGGGUGAAUCAUAUUCCCAAGUGAAUCCAAUAUUACUGACUAGAUUACUUAGUGCGUUUAGCCAAACACCGUCAUAUUUUUUUAUUCUCAUUAGAUUACUAGAAAUCUUUAAAAGAUAGCGCGAACCAAACGCACCC